rnacentral:rRNA from 1 species
AUUGAACGCUGGCGGCAGGCCUAACACAUGCAAGUCGAACGAGUGGCGGACGGGUGAGUAAUGUCUGGGAAACUGCCCGUUGGAGGGGGAUAACUACUGGAAAAGGUAGCUAAUACCGCCACCCAUCGGAAGUGCCCAUCUGGGAUGAGCGAGUAGGUGGGGUAAAGGCUCACCUAGGCGACGAACCCUAGCUGGUCUGAGAGGAUGACGAGCCACAAGGGAAUGGAGACACGGUCCGGACUCCUACGGCAGGCAGCGGGGGGGAAUUUUGCAAAAUGGGCACAAGCCGUAGGCAGACAGGCGGGGUGUAGGAAGAAGGCCUUCGGGUGGUAAAGUACUUUCAGCGGGGAGGCGUUACCCGCAGAAGAAGCACCGGCUAACUCCGUGCCAGCAGCCGCGGUAAUUC